ensembl:lncRNA
ACUCACUCCUGUAAAAUAUUCAGUGGCAAGGCUGAGAGAGCACAAGACAUGCGGGUCAGCACUCCUGCAUCUUCUGCCUUUCUUUCUCCCACAGUCCCAGGCUUCUUGGGGCUGCAAGUCCAUUUUUAAUGCUUGAGCCGACCGUGUUCUGUGUGGUGAUUAAGACCAGACUUUGGAUUUUAACAUGGAGGUUCCACCCCGAACAAAGAAACCAAAAUGAGGAGGUCAUUCAGCCUCCCUUGGACACUGUCCACCCCAUCCUUGUCUGAGCCCUCUGGGGGAGGUGGAUACCCACCUGCAAGAGAAGAUGGCCUGCUCUGAGUGAGUUCUCAGCAUCUCCCUUUAUCCUCGGGGGUGGUCUGCUCCCUCCCUUUUGUGGUCUCCUGCCUCUCAUUUGGCUCACACUUCGGCUACUGCCUCAUUCUGAGGGUGCAUUUAGCAUCUGCUUCUCUGGUUCUGCUUUAAAUCUCUCAUGGAGCCAACUCUGACCCUGCACAUCACAGCUGCAGCUAAGAGGCAGGUUGGCUUCCCAGGAGGCCAGGGCUACAAUAAAUGGACUAUCACUCAAAACUAUUAGGCUUCUUCCUGUCUAUUUUCUCAGACUCCCUGAUGGUUUUUUGACAAAGUUAUCAGCUAUCUGCUUGGGUUCUCUGAGACAAGACUUGCUGACGUCCAUGUCUUCAUAUUACAGUAUCUGUUCAAAGCUUAGCUGACUUCUGCCCAUCUUCCCCAGGUGGGAAUGUUAAGGAGGGAGAGUACUUUCUCUUCUUACCCCACCUACUCUGCAUCAAGAGGGGUGGGAUGGCCAGUCUGAACAGCUUAACACUCAGAGAAGUUCAUUAGUGGGUGAGUUCACUGAGAGAAGUUCAUUGAUGGGUGAGUUCAUUGUGCCUCUAGCCUUGCUAUGCUUGAACAUAGUAGCCUCUCUUCUGCCUCUUUCUUCAGUUAAGAGUCUUCCUUGCCAAAAUGUAAGUUUGCACACACUGCACACUGUUUCUCCUUUUGCCAGUAGGGUGAAGCAGGCCCGCCAUUCUUACCUCUACAGUUGUUUAGCUAAAAGCACCAGGAGUCUUUCUGUCCACCAAUUAUAUAUCUUUCCUUCUUUUCUGUUAAACCUGUGCCAUGCUCUUCAAUCCAGCUUGUAUCAGGGUUUUGCACUGAAACUGCUACCUAUGCACUCAGUCGUAAGCGUCCAUUUGGCCGUCAUUCUUUGGGUAUAGUUGUCAAGUGAAUGUGAAAAGCGAGGCUGGAUGGUACCUUGUAGAGGUUGGGGAUUGGGCAGACAACCCACAUUUGGGGAACUCCAUGCCUUUCCACAGUUUGACCCUGGAAUCAGCUGCAAUUUACUCCCCUGCUCAUAUUCUCCUAUUGGUCUACAUCAAGGUGCUGCUGUAGGAACUUGAUGCUUUUGUAAUAAUGUGGAAAGAGAAUUCUCAUACUUUGUGGUCCAGAAUCAACCUCCUUCCAGACAAACAACGGGAAUUAUACAAAGACUUAUUAGUGCUCAUGUGAGCAAACUAAUCACACCAUGCACUGUGUCAAAUUCAACUGACCAGAAAAGAAGUGGGAUUUUGUCAUCCUUUGCACUCACUCUAACAAAGCCUGGGUUAUUCUUGUGGGAGCUGAUGAGGAUUAUACAAGAGUGCAAGCUCAAUAACUUGGCUCUCGCAUUAUCCCAUUCCUUGUCACUAGGGAAAAGUAGUCCAAGACUUUGUGGAAACUUGAAUCUUUCUUUUCUACUGUCUGAUGAAAGGAAGUAAGGAAAAAGUUACAAUAGUUUUCUUUAAGAAAGUGGCAAUAUGACUUCAUCUUAUUCCUCACCUUGCAUUCACUCACCAGUUCAGACUAUAUAAAAUGUGUGCCAUUUGCCAGGCCUGUGCUAGGCAACUUUGGGAAGCCAAAAAUGGUGGUGGCAUCAUUUUCAUCAGGAGCAUGUUGUAGGAACAAGAAUGCAUUCUGAGAGCUGGGACUCUGUCUGUCUUAUUCAACAGUGUAUCUCUGUGACCAACAAGAGAAAGCUGGUACUUUGUAGAAGUUUGACAGGCAUUUGUCUUGUGCAGACAUCUGAUACAAUAAACAAACCUGACCUUGAGUGUGUGUAUGUCUGUGGCUGUAUUCCACAAAACAAAGUAAUUAAAAAUUUUAUUAAAACAUGGGGCCCCAUUUCUCUGUUCUCUGCUGGACUGGCAGAAAUGACUAUUCUUAUUCUUUCAUCUCUUGUCUGUUUUUUUCUCCUUCGAUGUCACAGCAGAAACCGCAGUGUGCUAUAAACUUACCUCCAUAAUAGAAUGUAGAUGCAUAAAUCAAAACAGCUCCUAACGGGUUGUCUGCAAUAAUAAAUGCUACGGAGGCAACCCGACUGGCAGUGUAAGAGAGAUUAUACAAACCGCUGCCUGGAGAAAACACAGCAUCGUGAAUAAACUCAGCCUUGAAUUAUUUAUAUAUUUUAGCCAUUAUUUUCUCUCCUCAGUCCUGCAAGGCCUGAGAAUGAUUUUCACUGAGAGUCGAGAGUGCCUGGAUUUGACUAUAGAAUACAAAGCCUCACAGUUAGCCUUUGGCCCAGUUUGGGGUGAGAAGGGGUCUGUUCCAUGGGCAGCAGGAGGGGGGCAGUGAAGUGCAGGG